UACGUAGGGUCCAAGCGUUGUCCGGAAUUAUUGGGCGUAAAGAGCUCGUAGGCGGUUUGUCGCGUCUGCUGUGAAAUCCCGAGGCUCAACCUCGGGCCUGCAGUGGGUGCGGGCAGACUUGAGUGGUGUAGGGGAGACUGGAAUUCCUGGUGUAGCGGUGGAAUGCGCAGAUAUCAGGAGGAACACCGAUGGCGAAGGCAGGUCUCUGGGCACUUACUGACGCUGAGGAGCGAAAGCGUGGGGAGCGAACAGG
rnacentral:rRNA from 1 species